CCGAACGUUAAUAGAUAUCGGUU
rnacentral:snRNA from 1 species